AACGCACAUUGCGCUCUUUGGUAUUCCAGAGAGCAUGCCUGUUUGAGCGUCAUUUCUCUCUCAAACCGCAAGGUUUGGUAUUGAGUGAUACUCUUAGUCGGACUAAGCGUUUGCUUGAAAAGUAUUGGCAUGAGUGCGCUAGAUAGUGCUUCUGAUCAAUUCAAUGUAUUAGGUUUAUCCAACUCGUUGAACGGUCAUUGGUGAAUUUCUGGUGUGAUUGGCUCGGCCUUACAACAACAAACAAAAGUUUGACCUCAAAUCAGGUAGGAUUACCCGCUGAACUUAA
rnacentral:misc_RNA from 1 species